GUUAGAGCGUUGGGCCAGUAACCGAAAGGUUUCUGGAUCGAAUCCCUGAGCUGACAAAUAUCUGUUAACCCACUGUUCCCCGAGAGGACGAUGAGUGCUAUGUCAAGAGGGAGCCAUUCCUGUCCUGACACUUCUGUUUCAGUCCUCCAACUGUGAGGUCCAGACCAUGUCAUCCAACUACUGACACAACACUACGCCGCCAUCUCAGAAUAUAUACUGAUGUACCUCAAGAAUCAGGAAGUGAGUUUCCAGCAGCCGAGCAUUAUGCAAUCUCAAAGACUAAGAGGUGUCCGUGGUGAUGAGUGGUAGUGCGCUGGACGAGCAGCUAAAGAGGGUGCAUGCACAGACAAGAGUUAGACGAUUCAGAAUCCUCUGUCCUCCUGACCUGUCCACUGGAGCCCU
rnacentral:lncRNA from 1 species